ACUACGGGAGGCAGCAGUGGGGAAUAUUGGGCAAUGGGCGCAAGCCUGACCCAGCAACGCCGCGUGAAGGAAGAAGGCUUUCGGGUUGUAAACUUCUUUUGUCAGGGACGAAGCAAGUGACGGUACCUGACGAAUAAGCCACGGCUAACUACGUGCCAGCAGCCGCGGUAAUACGUAGGUGGCAAGCGUUAUCCGGAUUUACUGGGUGUAAAGGACGUGUAGGCGGGGAAGCAAGUCAGAUGUGAAAACCACGGGCUCAACCUGUGGCCUGCAUUUGAAAAUGUUUUUCUUGAGUGCUGGAGAGGCAAUCGGAAGUCCGGGUGUAGCGGUGAAAUGCGUAGAUAGACGGAGGAACACCAGUGGCGAAGGCGGAUUGCUGGACAGUAACUGACGCUGAGGCGCGAAAGCGUGGGGAGCAAACAGGAUUAGAUACCCUGGUAGUC
rnacentral:rRNA from 1 species